rnacentral:rRNA from 1 species
GACGAACGCUGGCGGCGUGCUUAACACAUGCAAGUCGAACGGAAAGGCCCCUUUGGGGGUACUCGAGUGGCGAACGGGUGAGUAACACGUGAGUAACCUGCCCUUGACUUCGGGAUAACUUCAGGAAACUGGGGCUAAUACCGGAUAGGAAUCCUUGCUGCAUGGUGGGGGUUGGAAAGCUUCGGCGGUUUUGGAUGGACUCGCGGCUUAUCAGCUUGUUGGUGGGGUAGUGGCUUACCAAGGCUUUGACGGGUAGCCGGCCUGAGAGGGCGACCGGCCACAUUGGGACUGCGAUACGGCCCAGACUCCUACGGGAGGCAGCAGUGGGGAAUAUUGCACAAUGGGCGGAAGCCUGAUGCAGCAACGCCGCGUGCGGGAUGACGGCCUUCGGGUUGUAAACCGCUUUCAGCAGGGGAGAAGCUUGUGGUGACGGUACCUGCAGAAGAAGCACCGGCUAACUACGUG